UGAUAAAGAAGGGAAUUAAACCCACGUAAGUAGGACUACAGCCUACCGCCUACCAUUCGGCCACUUUACCU
rnacentral:tRNA from 1 species